rnacentral:lncRNA from 1 species
AUAAUCAGUUUUCUUUAAGUGAAGGAGAUUACCCUGGAUAAUGUUGGUGGGCCUCAUCUAAUCAGUUGAAAGGCCAUAAGGACAUACAAUGGGAUUUCCCAGAGAAGUAGAAAUUCUGCCUCGUGAACGUGUGUGUGUAGGCAUAUACCAUGUAUGUGCACGCAUGUCCUUUUUCUCUGUCUCCACUGGGAAUGUCUUAAUUUUUAUUAGAUUCCAAGUAAGAAUCAAAAUAAUGAGACCAUGCUUAUAUAUUCUUAAAAUUAUUGCAAACA